UGUAAUGUCACAAGUGUGUGUGUGGAGACGUGUUUUUUUUUUUACUAUUGACGUAAGCGGGGGGUUCCUAAACGUUGUAUAUGAAUAACACGGUAUAAAUACCGCGCGCAGAUUAUAAGGAACUCAUCUGCCGGUUCCUCCUCAGUUCUGUUUUCUCCCUGCUGAAGAACCGACCUUUAUCUGGAUUUAUCUGACCAACACACAGGAGCAUGUCGAGGAGAGACGUGUCGGUGAUCGCUGAGUGUGCUCAGCAGCUGCGUGUGAUGGGUGAUUUGAUCCAGCUGAGAUACCUGCUGCUGAGCCUGCUGGCCAGGAACUAUAAACUACUUCAAAAGAUUAAAUGAGGAGGACGGGAUGUGACGACACUGACCUGAGGGCAUUCGCUGCCGACUGAACCAAUCUCUCUCUCUGCCGGAGUUCUGAGCUUUUGCUUUACUGGUGGAUCUGCCUGAAUCUGUCUGGAUGUGUCUAGACGUCCAGUGCUGUGAUUGAUCUGCUGUCUGGAUCUGAGGAAUUCACGGCUGUGAGCAGGGCGCCGUUUCUUUCUUUCUGAGCAAAAAUGAGCCGAACGCCACAGUGCCAGUCUGAACCGAGGGCCCUGAGGGUCCAGAGGGUCUGGAGGAUCCAGAGGGUCCAUGGACUGCACUGAAACACGUCUCAGUGAAUAUAAUAUUGGAUGAUGGAUUUAAUAUUCACUGUAUUGUUAUUAGAGUUCACUGAGUUUGAGUGGGUGGGACUUUCUAAGGACUUUCCAAACAUGUGACUGGAGACGUCACAACCCAAAACAUCAUCACAUCAACACAACAACAGCCACGUCAUGUAGUUCCAGUUCUAGUUCCCUAUAUCCACAGAGAUUAAAGAACCCAUAUCGACAGAUUUAUCGAUUGCUUAAUUUUACCUCGUCUGAACGUGGGUGUGUUUUUAUUUACAUUAUAUACAGCUCUGAAAAAAAUGAAGAGAUCACUUCAGUUUCUGAUUUUGCUAUUUAUAGAUAUAUAUUUAAGUAAAAUUAACAUGGUUGUUUAAUUUUAUGAACUACAAACAACAUUUCUCCCAAAUUGACAAUGAGAAAUGGCUGAAAUCACAAAAAUAUGCAGAGCUUUCAGACUUCAAAUAAUGCAAAGAAAACAAGUUCAUAUCCUGGUUUUUGAUCACAGUUUUCAUUUAUCUUGGCAUGUCCUCCUCCACCAGUCUUACACACUGCUUUUGGAUAACUUUAUAUCGCUCCUGGUGCAACAAUUCAAGCAGUUCAGUUUGGUUUGAUGGCUUGUGAUCAUCCAUCUUCCUCUUGAUUAUAUUCUAGAGGUUUUUAAUUUGGUAAAAUCAAAGAAACUCAUUAUUUUUAAGUGGUCUCUUAUUUAUUUUACAGAGCUGUAUAUGUAUAUAUCUAUAUGUAUACAUAACUGUAUUUAAUUUAUCCUGUUUUUAGUUUGGGCUGCAUUUUGAAACACUCCUUACAACUUCAGAAUGAAUGGGGGGAGCUAAACUGUAGACUGGAGACUGGGCAUAGUUAUAUACUGUAUAAAUGUGUUUUAUUAAUGGGUUUAAUGAUAUGACUAGAUACUUGUCACAGUAACUAUUUUUGUUUGAUCAAUUUAUUGUCCAGGAAUUUAUUGAGAAAAAUGAUUUCACUGAAAAUGUAGUAGAAUUUCAUGCUUUUAAAGAUAAUAAAAUAUAUAAUACAUAUA